rnacentral:rRNA from 1 species
UGACCUCGGAUCAGGUAGGGAUACCCGCUGAACUUAAGCAUAUCAAUAAGCGGAGGAAAAGAAACCAACAGGGAUUGCCCUAGUAACGGCGAGUGAAGCGGCAACAGCUCAAAUUUGAAAGCUAGCCUUCGGGUUCGCAUUGUAAUUUGUAGAGGAUGAUUUGGGGAAGCCGCCUGUCUAAGUUCCUUGGAACAGGACGUCAUAGAGGGUGAGAAUCCCGUAUGUGACAGGAAAUGGCACCCUAUGUAAAUCUCCUUCGACGAGUCGAGUUGUUUGGGAAUGCAGCUCUAAAUGGGAGGUAAAUUUCUUCUAAAGCUAAAUAUUGGCGAGAGACCGAUAGCGCACAAGUAGAGUGAUCGAAAGAUGAAAAGCACUUUGGAAAGAGAGUUAAAAAGCACGUGAAAUUGUUGAAAGGGAAGCGCUUGCAAUCAGACUUGUUUAAACUGUUCGGCCGGUCUUCUGACCGGUUUACUCAGUUUGGACAGGCCAGCAUCAGUUUCGGCGGCCGGAUAAAGGCUCUGGGAAUGUGGCCUCCACUUCGGUGGAGGUGUUAUAGCCCAGGGUGUAAUACGGCCAGCCGGGACUGAGGUCCGCG